AUGCUUAGUAGCGGCGAGUGAGCGGCAAAAGCUCAAAUUUGAAAUCUGGCACCUUCGGUGUCCGAGUUGUAAUUUGAAGAUUGUAACCUUGGGGUUGGCUCUUGUCUAUGUUUCUUGGAACAGGACGUCACAGAGGGUGAGAAUCCCGUGCGAUGAGAUGCCCAAUCCUAUGUAAGGUGCUUUCGAAGAGUCGAGUUGUUUGGGAAUGCAGCUCUAAGUGGGUGGUAAAUUCCAUCUAAAGCUAAAUAUUGGCGAGAGACCGAUAGCGAACAAGUACAGUGAUGGAAAGAUGAAAAGAACUUUGAAAAGAGAGUGAAAAAGUACGUGAAAUUGUUGAAAGGGAAGGGUUUGAGAUCAGACUCGAUAUUUUGUGAGCCUUGCCUUCGUGGCGGGGUGACCCGCAGCUUAUCGGGCCAGCAUCGGUUUGGGCGGUAGGAUAAUGGCGUAGGAAUGUGACUUUGCUUCGGUGAAGUGUUAUAGCCUGCGUUGAUGCUGCCUGCCUAGACCGAGGACUGCGAUUUUAUCAAGGAUGCUGGCAUAAUGAUCCCAAACCGCCCGUCUUAA
rnacentral:rRNA from 1 species